GGGGGAAUAUGCACAAUGGGGGAAACCCUGAUGCAGCGACGCCGCGUGAGUGAAGAAGUAUUUCGGUAUGUAAAGCUCUAUCAGCAGGGAAGAUAAUGACGGUACCUGAGUAAGAAGCCCCGGCUAACUAC
rnacentral:rRNA from 1 species